CACAAACGUAGUGCACUGGGCCUUUAAUAGUCCUGUAUUAGCGGACACAUACAGACGUCUGCAGCGCAGGCAACCCCGCUAUGCUUCUUUGGAAAUCCCAGAAGCUCCCUCUUUCUGACACUCCGGGGUGGUGUUGGGUCAAAGACGUGACAACAGUCUUCUGCCUCCACGGUAAAUCCUCCAGACAAAGCCCUGGACCUAUCAGGUGACCCGGGAACUCUUUUCAUGGAGAUUUCCUCCUCCUCCUACAGUCAAAGCCAAGAGUAACAGGAUCUUGGGAAGGAUAAGACAUCUGAAAGAAUCUAGACUGUACUCCUUGAUGUGUUGUGUCCUCCGGGAACCAUUUUCCUCUGUGCUUAACACCUGUAGAUGUACUUACUGUAAAAAGGGAUCCUGUAUGUAGUUAUGUUAAGAACAAACCAGUUUAGAACUUGUACUGAACAGAAAAAGAGGCAUUGGGCCGGUUUCCCGGACCCAGUUAAAGCCUAUUCCUUGACCAGAAAACAUUUCAAUGGAGGUUCUCACAAACUGUACACUGUACUUUCCUUUACAUUCUCUUUCUCAUUCCCUUUCCUAUUUCCAGUUCAACCCCAUAAAAUAACCAAAUGACA